rnacentral:lncRNA from 1 species
GGAGUGAGGAAAGCCGGCCCUCGGGUAAAGGACCCUAACUUUUUUUUUUUUUUUUGAGACGGAGUCUCGCUCUGUCGCCCAGGCUGGACUGCCGUGGCGCGAUCUCGGAUCACUGCAACCUCCGCCUCCCGGGUUCAAGCGAUUCCCCUGCCUCAGCCUCCCGAGCAGCUGGGGUUACAGGCGCGCACCACCACGCCCCGCUAAUUUUUGUAUUUUUAGUAGAGACGAAAUUUCGCCAUGUUGGCCAGGAUGGUUUCAAACUCCUGACCUCAGGUGAUCCGCCCUGGGAUUACAGACGUGAGCCACCGCACCUGGCCAACGUUUUAACAGCCUUUAGCCAAAGCCUGGGUGCAGCUCCAGUUGAGAGGGAGCGGCUGUUGCCGGGGCAACUGCUCCCGCUCGGGGCAGCGAGGGCCGGUCAGUCUCGAGAAUUAAGACGGAGGGCCUCCUCGGACCCUACAGAGUUGUUUGAAUAACAUUUUUCCGUUUGUGGGAACCCUAACCCUAAUCCACUUUGUGCUGUCCCAGGACUCGCAUAGAGGAGUGCAGGUUCUGAUCCCUGCUGGGAAGGUGAGGGCUCCGCGGAGAGCCUGGGACCUCGAGGGGCAGCCCGCUGAAGACAGGCCAUCUAGGGCAAUAGCGUGGGCUUUGGCAGCAGCGUUUGGCUAGGGAGGUGGGGUGGGGAGAGGCAGGACAGACUCAGGUAAUCAACCUCUGGGUACACGCCACAGGGAAAGGAGCCUUGGUUUUUUUUUUUUUUUUCCAACAGAAAAAUGAUUAGGACUGUAAAGCCUUCUAGCUCCCUCUUGCCAAAGAGAGGCUGGUCACAGAGGCGGGAGACAGUCUGUUGAGCGGGGAGCUGACCAUCUGAGGACAGACACUGAGGAAGGAGGAUGGAAUGAUUUUGGCAGUGAAUGACAAUUCCUUCAACAAGACCCCCCCCCCCCACUCACUUCAAAGAAACAGUGGACAGGAU